GGCUCGGUAGCUCAGUCGGUAGAGCAGUGGACUGAAAAUCCAUGUGUCGUUGGUUCGAUUCCGACCCGAGCCA
rnacentral:tRNA from 1 species